rnacentral:rRNA from 1 species
GAAACUGACGGAACUCUUCGGAGGGAAGGCAGUGGAAUGAGCGGCGGACGGGUGAGUAACACGUAAGGAACCUGCCUCAAGGAUUGGGAUAACUCCGAGAAAUCGGAGCUAAUACCGGAUAGUUCAACGGACCGCAUGGUCCGCUGAUGAAAGGCGCUUCGGCGUCACCUUGAGAUGGCCUUGCGGUGCAUUAGCUAGUUGGUGGGGUAACGGCCCACCAAGGCGACGAUGCAUAGCCGACCUGAGAGGGUGAUCGGCCACACUGGGACUGAGACACGGCCCAGACUCCUACGGGAGGCAGCAGUAGGGAAUCUUCCACAAUGGACGAAAGUCUGAUGGAGCAACGCCGCGUGAGUGAUGAAGGUUUUCGGAUCGUAAAACUCUGUUGUAAGGGAAGAACACGUACGAGAGGAAAUGCUCGUACCUUGACGGUACCUUACGAGAAAGCCACGGCUAACUACGUGCCAGCAGCCGCGGUAAUACGUAGGUGGCAAGCGUUGUCCGGAAUUAUUGGGCGUAAAGCGCGCGCAGGCGGCCUUUUAAGUCUGAUGUGAAAGCCCCCGGCUCAACCGGGGAGGGCCAUUGGAAACUGGAAGGCUUGAGUACAGAAGAGAAGAGUGG